rnacentral:lncRNA from 1 species
CAACAAACAACACCCAUAACACAGAAACAUACUCAUGCAUAAAAACCCUCAAAAACCUCCUUGUACACCUCACCAUGCAACUCUUCCCUUUCCCUCCAUAAAACUUGCUUAAAACACUAGAAAACAUAAGGAUCAACACUUACCUCUUGGCUGGUGUGAUCCUAGCUUCAAAACAUGGAGAAACCAAGCUCCUCAAGCUUCAAGCUCCACAACUUCCUCUUUU